UUAAGCGACUAAGCGUACACGGUGGAUGCCCUGGCAGUCAGAGGCGAUGAAGGACGUGCUAAUCUGCGAAAAGCGUCGGUAAGGUGAUAUGAACCGUUAUAACCGGCGAUGUCCGAAUGGGGAAACCCAGUGCAAUUCGUUGCACUAUCGUUAACUGAAUACAUAGGUUAACGAGGCGAACCGGGGGAACUGAAACAUCUAAGUACCCCGAGGAAAAGAAAUCAACCGAGAUUCCCCCAGUAGCGGCGAGCGAACGGGGAGCAGCCCAGAGUCUGAAUCAGCUUGUGUGUUAGUGGAACGGUCUGGAAAGUCCGACGGUACAGGGUGAUAGUCCCGUACACCAAAAUGCACAGGCUGUGAACUCGAAGAGUAGGGCGGGACACGUGGUAUCCUGUCUGAAUAUGGGGGGACCAUCCUCCAAGGCUAAAUACUCCUGACUGACCGAUAGUGAACCAGUACCGUGAGGGAAAGGCGAAAAGAACCCCGGCGAGGGGAGUGAAAAAGAACCUGAAACCGUGUACGUACAAGCAGUGGGAGCACCUUCGGGUGUGACUGCGUACCUUUUGUAUAAUGGGUCAGCGACUUAUAUUCUGUAGCAAGGUUAACCGUAUAGGGGAGCCGCAGGGAAACCGAGUCUUAACUGGGCGUUAAGUUGCAGGGUAUAGACCCGAAACCCGGUGAUCUAGCCAUGGGCAGGUUGAAGGUUGGGUAACACUAACUGGAGGACCGAACCGACUAAUGUUGAAAAAUUAGCGGAUGACUUGUGGCUGGGGGUGAAAGGCCAAUCAAACCGGGAGAUAGCUGGUUCUCCCCGAAAGCUAUUUAGGUAGCGCCUCGUGAACUCAUCUUCGGGGGUAGAGCACUGUUUCGGCUAGGGGGUCAUCCCGACUUACCAACCCGAUGCAAACUACGAAUACCGAAGAAUGUUAUCACGGGAGACACACGGCGGGUGCUAACGUCCGUCGUGAAGAGGGAAACAACCCAGACCGCCAGCUAAGGUCCCAAAGUCAUGGUUAAGUGGGAAACGAUGUGGGAAGGCACAGACAGCCAGGAUGUUGGCUUAGAAGCAGCCAUCAUUUAAAGAAAGCGUAAUAGCUCACUGGUCGAGUCGGCCUGCGCGGAAGAUGUAACGGGGCUAAACCAUGCACCGAAGCUGCGGCAGCGACACUAUGUGUUGUUGGGUAGGGGAGCGUUCUGUAAGCCUGCGAAGGUGUGCUGUGAGGCAUGCUGGAGGUAUCAGAAGUGCGAAUGCUGACAUAAGUAACGAUAAAGCGGGUGAAAAGCCCGCUCGCCGGAAGACCAAGGGUUCCUGUCCAACGUUAAUCGGGGCAGGGUGAGUCGACCCCUAAGGCGAGGCCGAAAGGCGUAGUCGAUGGGAAACAGGUUAAUAUUCCUGUACUUGGUGUUACUGCGAAGGGGGGACGGAGAAGGCUAUGUUAGCCGGGCGACGGUUGUCCCGGUUUAAGCAUGUAGGCUGGUUGUCCAGGCAAAUCCGGAUAAUCAAGGCUGAGGUGUGAUGACGAGGCACUACGGUGCUGAAGUAACAAAUGCCCUGCUUCCAGGAAAAGCCUCUAAGCAUCAGGUAACAUCAAAUCGUACCCCAAACCGACACAGGUGGUCAGGUAGAGAAUACCAAGGCGCUUGAGAGAACUCGGGUGAAGGAACUAGGCAAAAUGGUGCCGUAACUUCGGGAGAAGGCACGCUGGUGUGUAGGUGAAGUCCCUGCGGAUGGAGCUGAGACCAGUCGAAGAUACCAGCUGGCUGCAACUGUUUAUUAAAAACACAGCACUGUGCAAACACGAAAGUGGACGUAUACGGUGUGACGCCUGCCCGGUGCCGGAAGGUUAAUUGAUGGGGUUAUCCGUAAGGAGAAGCUCUUGAUCGAAGCCCCGGUAAACGGCGGCCGUAACUAUAACGGUCCUAAGGUAGCGAAAUUCCUUGUCGGGUAAGUUCCGACCUGCACGAAUGGCGUAAUGAUGGCCAGGCUGUCUCCACCCGAGACUCAGUGAAAUUGAACUCGCUGUGAAGAUGCAGUGUACCCGCGGCAAGACGGAAAGACCCCGUGAACCUUUACUAUAGCUUGACACUGAACAUUGAGCCUUGAUGUGUAGGAUAGGUGGGAGGCUUUGAAGCGUGGACGCCAGUCUGCGUGGAGCCAACCUUGAAAUACCACCCUUUAAUGUUUGAUGUUCUAACGUUGGCCCCUUACCGGGGUUGCGGACAGUGUCUGGUGGGUAGUUUGACUGGGGCGGUCUCCUCCCAAAGCGUAACGGAGGAGCACGAAGGUUAGCUAAUCCUGGUCGGACAUCAGGAGGUUAGUGCAAUGGCAUAAGCUAGCUUGACUGCGAGCGUGACGGCGCGAGCAGGUGCGAAAGCAGGUCAUAGUGAUCCGGUGGUUCUGAAUGGAAGGGCCAUCGCUCAACGGAUAAAAGGUACUCCGGGGAUAACAGGCUGAUACCGCCCAAGAGUUCAUAUCGACGGCGGUGUUUGGCACCUCGAUGUCGGCUCAUCACAUCCUGGGGCUGAAGUAGGUCCCAAGGGUAUGGCUGUUCGCCAUUUAAAGUGGUACGCGAGCUGGGUUUAGAACGUCGUGAGACAGUUCGGUCCCUAUCUGCCGUGGGCGCUGGAGAAUUGAGGGGGGCUGCUCCUAGUACGAGAGGACCGGAGUGGACGCAUCACUGGUGUUCGGGUUGUCAUGCCAAUGGCACUGCCCGGUAGCUAAAUGCGGAAGAGAUAAGUGCUGAAAGCAUCUAAGCACGAAACUUGCCCCGAGAUGAGUUCUCCCUGAGACUUUAAGUCUCCUGAAGGAACGUUAAAGACGAUGACGUUGAUAGGCCGGGUGUGUAAGCGCAGCGAUGCGUUGAGCUAACCGGUACUAAUGAACCGUGAGGCUUAACCU
rnacentral:rRNA from 1 species